rnacentral:rRNA from 1 species
UCCUCUCGCGGGGGGCACACUGGGGAAUAUUUUACACAGGGGGCAAACCUGAUCCAUACAUAACGCGUGUGUGAAGAAAGCCCCUUGGUUGUAAAACCCUUUAAGGUCGGAGGAGAAUCCAUUUGUUAAAACCUCGAGGGAUAGGGCGUUUCCCGCAGAAUAAGCCCCGGGUAAAUUUGUUCCAGCCACCGGGGUAAUUCAGAGGGGGCCAGCCUUAAUUGGAAUUUCUGGGGGUAAAGGGGUGCUCGGGGGCUUUUUAAGUACGAUGGGAAAUCCCCGGGGUUAACCCUGGAAUUGCCUUUGAUACUGGCAAGCUUGAAUCUGGGAGAGGGUGGUAGAAUUCCCGGUGUAGCGGUGAAAUUCGUAGAAAUUGGGGGGAAUCCCGGUGGGGAAGGCCGCUCUCUGGCCUAAUAAUGACCGUGAGGUCCGAAAGCCUGGGGGGCCAACCGGAUUAGAUUCCCUGGUUGUUCCCCCCGUAAACGAUGUUCACUAGCUGUUGGGGCCUUUGCGGCCUCAGUGGCGCAGCUAACGCGUUAAGUUCUCCGCCUGGGAGUCGCCGCAAGU